rnacentral:lncRNA from 1 species
GCUAAAUGUAAAUUUGGAUCGUGCUAUCGGUAAAUCGCGCACGCAGCAAUUAUUUCCAGAAAAUACUGCCAAAACUAACCCUGUAACUACAAACUUAACCUGUUUUGUCUUUAACGAUGAAGCCAUUUGAAAUCACAAGAUUGUAAUCUAUCGAAUAGGCUAUUUUUUAUAUCAAUUUGGUAUCAUAUUCAGCCAAAAAUGUUUACUGAAUUUGAUUGACAGAAUUACGAAUGUUGUUAGCCGGCAAUAAUUAUCGUCAUAUUAUUCUGAAAACUCGCUGGCAAAACUAACCCUGGAACUGAAAAAUAAACUAUUUUUGUAUUUUGUGGUCAAAGUAUGUGUAAUCACAAGAUUGUAAUCUAUCGAAUAGGCUAUUUUUUAUAUCAAUUUGGUAACUUAUUCGCCCAAAAAUGUUUACUGAAAAUUUGACGGCCAAAAUUACUUUUGCGCCAACUAGAAGAUGGCAAUUUCUGUUGCCCCCACUUCGAACCAUGUAACUAUAGUUUAAUUAAAUAAAGUUCAGAGUUUGUAAUUUACAUAUUUUGCCGGAACAAAAAUAGACCUGUGGAUGCACUUGUCCCGUUUUGAAACUUAUAUCGGGUCAAACAAAGCCAAAAACGUCCUUUGGAUGCUUGCGUAAUGUUUUUGACUGUAAAAAAGUCGCCAUUGCCAUUUGUUGUUGUCCGGCAAAGUUUGUACCAGCUAACUUCGAACCCUGCAACUACAGUUUAGUAAAGUUCAGGGUUUGCAAUUUAUUAUUUAAAACAAAUAUAGACAUGUGGAUGCAUUUCUCCGGUUUUUAAACUUAUAUUGGGUCAAACAAAGGCAAAAACCACCUUUUAAUGAUUGCGUAAUGUUUUUGACAGCAAAAAAAGUCGUCAUUGCCAUUGGCAUUCUUGUUGGCAUUGUCGAAAGUUAAGGGUGUUAAACAUACAAAACUCACCGUUAAAAUAACUGAAACCUUGUUUUUAUUUCUUUUAAAUAAUGGAUGCCUUAGCAAAAAGGGUUUUCGAGAAAGAAAGGAUUUGUUGUCAAUAUUAAAAAUGGAAGGUAUAUUAAUUUAAAAACCGAAAUUGCCAAAUUCAAAUUUUAAAAUAUAGAUCAAGGAAAACUUCGAAAAGAUAACUUCAAUCAAUUUAUAUAACGUAAUUACAGUGAAGCAAAAUUGAAUAAAUAUACGUAAACUUAAUUAAAGUAAACUAAAAUAAGCAAACAAACCUGAAUCGUGCCUGAAAGUCCAUCCCAAAUUGGAAAUCAAAAUUUUGAACAAGCUCGAAAAUUCUCUGCACUCGUCUCUGAAUAUUAGCAGAUCCGUUUUAUAAACUUUACACACAAUGUGAUAUACCUAACUCCCUUUUCGGUGUAGAUUAUUUAAACAAUUUUCCAGUAUAUAAAGAGCUGUAAAACAGCAGACAAGUACCGGUCUACAAUCUAUCGCUUUAUUCUUUUUCGAAGCAACAGGCGCCAUUCAGUAAUUCACUCGCAUUGCAUGAUUGGCACAAGCGUCACGCAAGCACAUCACGGAUGGCACGCGCAAAACAUUAGGCGUUUCCAGUCCCUGUCUUCUGGAUUGUCUAUGGUUUUAUGUACCGUUGCCGUGGUUUUGAAAGUAGUCUUACGCCCGUAUUCUAAAAGCUCACUCACAUUCAAUCAUGAGUGGAAGUUCAGUCUGAGCUUCUCUCGAGUGU